CACCGCGGUUAGACGGGAGGCCCAAACUGAUGCCCUGCGGCGUAAAGCGUGAUUAGGAUCAACUCAAACUAAAGCCGAACGGCUCCUCAACUGUUAUACGUUUAAAGAGACACGAAGCCCAACAACGAAAGUGACUUUAACUAAACAUCCUGAAUUCACGAAAAUUAAGAAA
rnacentral:rRNA from 1 species